UACGAAGGGGGCUAGCGUUGCUCGGAAUUACUGGGCGUAAAGGGCGCGUAGGCGGACAGUUAAGUCAGAGGUGAAAGCCCAGGGCUCAACCCUGGAAUUGCCUUUGAUACUGGCUGUCUUGAGUAUGGGAGAGGUGAGUGGAACUCCGAGUGUAGAGGUGAAAUUCGUAGAUAUUGGGAAGAACACCAGUGGCGAAGGCGGCUAUCUGGACCGUAACUGACGCUGAGGUGCGAAAGCGUGGGGAGCAAACAGG
rnacentral:rRNA from 1 species